rnacentral:misc_RNA from 1 species
CUUGUUUCACUUUACUAUCUAUUUUUAUGUCACGAGAAUUACUUGAUUUUUCUAAAUUAUCACUGAUCAUGGUAUCACAGUUAUUUGUUACAUUUUUCGUGUUACAAUCGUUGGCUAAACUUGUUAAAAAGUUGUUACGAUUAAUUGUAUUAUUUUGAUCAUCCUUAAGUUCUUCGUAAUGCGAAGAUAUAUAUUGAUUAUAUAAAGACUGAGAUACUGGUAAUCCAUCACAUCGAAAUAUAGGAUAAUAUGGGUCAGUAAUUGUAUGAAACUGCCUUUUAUGUAAAGAUUGCUUUUGAGGAGAAGUUUCGGGAGAUAUACUUUGUUUUAAUUGUGGCAACCCUAAUCCAUAUGUUCUUACUGAUAUUCGAUUGGAGUACAAAUUGGACGAUCCUAAAUCAUGCAUACUUAAGCUUCUCUUAUUAAAUUCUUUUCGUUUAACUAGUUUUUCUUUUGGCGUAACGUUUCUUAAUUUAUUUAAACGUUUAUAUCUAAGUGCUUUCUUAACAACAUCUGGAAUAUCAUCUACAUUUGUUUUUAUUUCUUUCUUUUCUUCUUCUGCUUCAUUAUUUGUAUCUUCGUUUGUGUUACAUAUUAACAUAGCAUUACCAUGUAAUACUCUAUUAAUAUCUUUUAAUGGUGUAGAGCAAACGCUAGGAGUUAAAGGAUUUACACACUUAGGACGGUCUGUUUUACUUUCCUGUUUACGUUUCACUGGAGAACUGUACAGUAAAAAUGCGAGAAGUAUCACGUUUCAUUCCCGACAAAGGGAGUUCCUUACUGUUCUUGGACAUGUUCUAAGAAUAUAAUAGUUUCAUCAUUAAAUAAUUGUUAUAAUUCAUUGUCAAAAACUACUAACCUUUUUUUGAAAUAUCUUUUUUGUCACAGAAUCUAAAUAAGAACUGUAAUAUCGUUCAUUAUUUGCUUCUUGUACAAGUUUUGUAAACUGUUUUUGCUCUAUAUAUACUCGCAAUAACUGUACUCCAACAGGUAGAUGAAAUUCUGUUGAUAUUCUCUCUGCAGGAGCCUAAAAAAUUGUAUUAAAAGAAACAAUAUUGUAUAUUAUGUAAAUAUUACAUACUAUUAAUAUAUUUUAAUUGAAUAUACCUUUAUUCUAUAUGGAUCAGUUAUAACAAUUUGUUUGGUCAACUCAGCACUUAACUGAGUUGCAACUACCCUGAAAUAUUAAUACUUUUAGUUUUUAAAAUAAAGGAAUAAUUUAUUUGUCACUGCUCUAGAAACUUACUUAUUAUUAUAGAAGAGUGCACCACCUAUGAUACCACUGAUUUCUUGAUAAUAUUGUAAAACUUGAAUUGCUUCUAAAAAUAUGUUGCUAGCACUCUAAAACAACAUAACCUUAAUUUAUAUUAUAUCCAUAAUAAAUAAUUAAAUAUAUUUAAAAAAAGCUGUAUAAAAUAGAAAAAUUGAUAUCAUAUAUCAAUUACCUUCGGAAGUUUAAUGAUAGGAAUAUUGGAGAAAAGAUUGGCACUAUAUUGAAGUAUUGGCAAAUAUGUUUCAAACAUUUGAUAAAGCUUCUCUGUGAACUUAUUUCUGUCAUUAUUAAAUGAUUCCAGUAUCUUAUUCAAAUCAUAAUGAAAGAAUUUUAGCAAUGAUUCUAAUGUAUUUGCACGCCUUUCUAGAAUCCAGUCAUGAAUAUUCCUAUCAGUUCCAACUGCCUGUAAAGUAGUAAACAAUGAAAUUUAUGUGGCAAAUAUUAAUUCAUACUAAGUAUGACACAUUAAGCAAUGAGAAAAAUAUUACGUUUCAUUCAUUGAGACUACACUGAUAAUUGUAACUGCUUUAAUAGA